rnacentral:rRNA from 1 species
GACAGAGGGUGCAAACGUUGCUCGGAAUCACUGGGCGUAAAGGGCGUGUAGGCGGGGAAGGAAGUCGGGCGUGAAAUCCCCAGGCUCAACCUGGGAACUGCACUCGAAACUACUUCUCUUGAGUACCGGAGAGGAAAGCGGAAUACCUGGUGUAGAGGUGAAAUUCGUAGAUAUCAGGUGGAACACCAGUGGCGAAGGCGGCUUUCUGGACGGUAACUGACGCUGAGACGCGAAAGCGUGGGGAGCAAACAGG